CCUCAGUCGAAGUAAGACAUAUUAAAUAAACUGUGCUCCGCAUAAUACGAAAAUAAUUGGUGUUUUCUUUUUAAACGUUUGACAAAAAACAGAGAUUUGUUUGCUGAAUUAUAAUCGACCGAUAUUUUCAAGAAAAUUAUCGAUUUGUCAGGCGGGAGCUUGGAAAAGGCUCUGAAGAAUAUUAUUUCGUCAGAGAUCGCCAUAGAAUACAAUUAUGAAGGAACGAAUGGAAAACAUCCUUUUAAAACGCUGACAAACAUUAAUUUAUGUUUAUAUAAUGCGGUGAAAAAAGAUGGCCCUACUGCAAAACUUAUCUAUAGAAAAGCUAUUCAACAAGGGUUUAAGAGGAUGAAAAACUUGCAUUUUAAAAAAGCUGCUGCCGAGAAGAAAG